GGAGAGGUGCCAGAGUGGUCGAUCGGGACAGACUCGAAAUCUGUUGUACUCUUACGAGUACCGUGGGUUCGAAUCCCACCCUCUCCG
rnacentral:tRNA from 1 species